AGGACGAACGCUGGCGGCGUGCUUAACACAUGCAAGUCGAGCGGUAGGGCUCCUUUCGGGGGGUACACGAGCGGCGAACGGGUGAGUAACACGUGAGUAAUCUGCCCUUCACUCUAGGAUAAGCCUCAGAAAUGGGGUCUAAUACUGGAUAUGACUCGUCCCUGCAUGGGGGUGGUGGAAAGAUUUAUUGGUGGGGGAUGUGCUCGCGGCCUAUCAGCUUGAUGGUGGGGUAAUGGCCUACCAUGGCUUCGACGGGUAGCCGGCCUGAGAGGGUGACCGGCCACACUGGGACUGAGACACGGCCCAGACUCCUACGGGAGCAGCAGUGGGGAAUAGUUGGACAAGUGGGCGGAAAGCCUAGAUACCAGCAACGCCGCGUGAGGAUGACGGCUCGGUUGUAAACCUCUUCAUCACCGACGAAGUCGACGUCGUUUUUUGGUGUGGUGACGGUAGGUGAAGUAGAAGCGACGCAACGUCGU
rnacentral:rRNA from 1 species